CAGGGAUUGCCUUAGUAACGGCGAGUGAAGCGGCAACAGCUCAAAUUUGAAAUCUGGUCCUUCCAGGACUCGAGUUGUAAUUUGUAGAGGAUGUUUCGGCGUUGGUCCCGGCUUAAGUUCCUUGGAAUAGGACGUCAUAGAGGGUGAGAAUCCCGUAUGUGGCCGGCCAUGUGAAGCUCCUUCGACGAGUCGAGUUGUUUGGGAAUGCAGCUCUAAAUGGGAGGUAAAUUUCUUCUAAAGCUAAAUACUGGCCAGAGACCGAUAGCGCACAAGUAGAGUGAUCGAAAGAUGAAAAGCACUUUGGAAAGAGAGUCAAAAAGUACGUGAAAUUGUUGAAAGGGAAGCGCUUGCAACCAGACUUGCCCGUGGUUGCUCAUUCAGGCUCCUGCCUGGUGCACUCUUCCGCGGUCAGGCCAGCAUCGGUUCGGGCGGUCGGAUAAAGGCGGUAGGAAUGUGGCUCCUCGGGGAGUGUUAUAGCCUGCCGUGUAAUGCGGCCAGCCUGGACUGAGGUCUGCGCUCCGGUUAGGAUGCUGGCAUAAUGGUUGUAAGCGGCCCGUCUUGAAACACGGACCAAGGAGUCUAACAUCUGUGCGAGUGUUUGGGUGUCAAGCCCGGACGCAUAAUAAAAGUGAACGGAGGCGGGAACCUUCGUGCACCGUCGACCGAUCCUGAUGUCUUCGGAUGGAUUUGAGUAAGAGCAUAGCUGUUGGGACCCGAAAGAUGGUGAACUAUGCCUGGAUAGGGUGAAGCCAGAGGAAACUCUGGUGGAGGCUCGCAGCGGUUCUGACGUGCAAAUCGAUCGUCAAAUUUGGGCAUAGGCGAAAACUAAUCGAACUAUCUAGUAGCUGGUUCCUGCCGAAGUUUCCCUCAGGAUAGCAGUAACGUUUUCAGUUUUAUGAGGUAAAGCGAAUGAUUAGAGGCCUGGGGGUUGAAACAACCUUCACCUAUUCUCAAACUUUAAAUAUGUAAGAAGUCCUUGUUACUUAGUUGAACGUGGACAUUUGAAUGUACCGUUACUAGUGGGCCAUUUUUGGUAAGCAGAACUGGCGAUGCGGGAUGAACCGAACGCGGGGUUAAGGUGCCGGAAUGCACGCUCAUCAGACACCACAAAAGGUGUUAGUUCAUCUAGACAGCAGGACGGUGGCCAUGGAAGUCGGAAUCCGCUAAGGAGUGUGUAACAACUCACCUGCCGAAUGAACUAGCCCUGAAAAUGGAUGGCGCUCAAGCGUGCUACCCAUACCCCGCCGCCGGGGCAAGAGUUACGCCCCGGCGAGUAGGCAGGCGUGGAGGCUUGUG
rnacentral:rRNA from 1 species